rnacentral:rRNA from 1 species
CAGUCGGACGGCAGCACGGGGGCAACCCUGGUGGCGAGUGGCGAACGGGUGAGUAAGACAUCGGAACGUGUCCUGGAGUGGGGGAUAGCCCGGCGAAAGCCGGAUUAAUACCGCAUACGAUCUGUGGAUGAAAGCGGGGGACCGAAAGGCCUCGCGCUCAAGGGGCGGCCGAUGGCAGAUUAGCUAGUUGGUGGGGUAAAGGCCUACCAAGGCGACGAUCUGUAGCUGGUCUGAGAGGACGACCAGCCACACUGGGACUGAGACACGGCCCAGACUCCUACGGGAGGCAGCAGUGGGGAAUUUUGGACAAUGGGGGCAACCCUGAUCCAGCAAUGCCGCGUGUGUGAAGAAGGCCUUCGGGUUGUAAAGCACUUUUGUCCGGAAAGAAAACUUCGGGGCUAAUACCUCUGGAGGAUGACGGUACCGGAAGAAUAAGCACCGGCUAACUACGUGCCAGCGGCCGCGGUAAUACGUAGGGUGCGAGCGUUAAUCGGAAUUACUGGGCGUAAAGCGUGCGCAGGCGGUUCGCUAAGACCGAUGUGAAAUCCCCGGGCUUAACCUGGGAACUGCAUUGGUGACUGGCGGGCUAGAGUAUGGCAGAGGGGGGUAGAAUUCCACGUGUAGCAGUGAAAUGCGUAGAGAUGUGGAGGAAUACCGAUGGCGAAGGCAGCCCCCUGGGCCAAUACUGACGCUCAUGCACGAAAGCGUCGGGAGCAAACAGGAUUAGAUACCCUGGUAGUCCACGCCCUAAACGAUGUCAACUAGUUGUCGGGCCUUCAUUGGCUUGGUAACGUAGCUAACGCGUGAAGUUGACCGCCUGGGGAGUACGGUCGCAAGAUUAAAACUCAAAGGAAUUGA